rnacentral:rRNA from 1 species
AUUGAACGCUGGCGGAAUGCUUUACACAUGCAAGUCGAACGGUAGAGGGGGCAACCCCUUGAGAGUGGCGAACGGGUGAGUAAUAUAUCGGAACGUGCCCAGUCGUGGGGAUAACGUAGCGAAAGUUACGCUAAUACCGCAUACGAUCUAAGGAUGAAAGCGGGGGAUCGCAAGACCUCGCGCGAUUGGAGCGGCCGAUAUCAGAUUAGGUAGUUGGUGAGGUAAAGGCUCACCAAGCCAACGAUCUGUAGCUGGUCUGAGAGGACGACCAGCCACACUGGAACUGAGACACGGUCCAGACUCCUACGGGAGGCAGCAGUGGGGGAAUUUUGGACAAUGGACGCAAGUCUGAUCCAGCCAUUCCGCGUGCAGGAUGAAGGCCCUCGGGUUGUAAACUGCUUUUUGUACGGAACGAAAAGGUUUCUAUUAAUACUAGGAGCUCAUGACGGUACCGUAAGAAUAAGCACCGGCUAACUACGUGCCAGCAGCCGCGGU